CCUGGUUGAUCCUGCCAGUAGUCAUAUGCUUGUCUCAAAGAUUAAGCCAUGCAUGUCUAAGUACAGGCUUUGGUACGGCGAAACCGCGAAUGGCUCAUUAAAUCAGCUAUAAUUUAUUAGAUUGUUCUUUACUUGGAUAACUGUGGGAAUUCUAGAGCUAAUACAUGCACAAAAGCUCCGACCUUCGGGAAGGAGUGCAGUUAUUAGACCAAAACCAGCCGAGCUUCGGCUCGAACUGUUUGGUGACUCUGGAUAACGAUGAGCGGAUCGCAUGGCCUUGAGCCGGCGACGUAUCUUUCAAGUGUCUGACCUAUCAACUGACGAUGGUACGCGAUAUGCCUACCAUGGUGAUAACGGGUAACGGAGAAUAAGGGUUCGACUCCGGAGAGGGAGCCUGAGAAAUGGCUACCACAUCCAAGGAUGGCAGCAGGCGCGCAAAUUACCCACUCUCAGUACGAGGAGGUAGUGACGAAAAAUAACAAUGCGGGACUCAUCAGAGGCCUCGCAAUUGGAAUGAGCGCACUUUAAAUCGUUCGACGAGGAUCUAUUGGAGGGCAAGUCUGGAGCCAGCAGCCGCGGUAAUUCCAGCUCCAAUAGCGUAUAUUAAAGUUGUUGCAGUUAAAAAGCUCGUAGUUGGAUCUGGGGUUCGGGUCGGCGGUUUGCCGCUUCGGCGGCUACUGCCGUGCUCGACUCUUACUAGCCGGUGCGUCUUGCGGUGCUCUUCAUCGAGUGCCGUAGGGGCCUGGCAUGUUUACUUUGAAAAAAAUUAGAGUGCUCAAAGCAGGCGAUUCCGCCUGAAUAGUGUUGCAUGGAAUAAUGGAAUAGGACCUCGGUUCUAUUUUGUUGGUUUUCGGAACUUGAGGUAAUGAUUAAGAGGGACGGUCGGGGGCAUUCGUAUUUCGGUGUUAGAGGUGAAAUUCUUGGAUCGCUGAAAGACGGACAAAUGCGAAAGCAUCUGCCAAGAACGUCUCCAUUAAUCAAGAACGAAAGUCAGAGGUUCGAAGACGAUCAGACACCGUCCUAGUUCUGACCAUAAACGAUGCCAACUAGCGAUCCGCAGUGGUUGCUAUAAACGGACUCUGCGAGCAGCUUCCGGGAAACCAAAGUGUUUGGGUUCCGGGGGAAGUAUGGUUGCAAAGCUGAAACUUAAGGGAAUUGACGGAAGGGCACCACCAGGAGUGGAGCCUGCGGCUUAAUUUGACCCAACACGGGGAAACUCACCCGGUCCGGACACUGUAAGGAUUGACAGAGCGAGAGCUCUUUCUUGAUUCGGUGGAUGGUGGUGCAUGGCCGUUCUUAGUUGGUGGAGUGAUUUGUCUGGUUAAUUCCGAUAACGAACGAGGCUCUAGCCUGCUAACUAGUUGCGCCGUGUUCAUACGCGGCUGUAGACUUCUUAGAGGGACAGGUGGCGUUUAGCCACACGAAAUUGAGCAAUAACAGGUCUGUGAUGCCCUUAGAUGUCCGGGGCCGCACGCGCGCUACACUGAAGGAGUCAGCGUGUGCUAUCCGGGCUCGGAAGAGUUCGGUAACCCGUUGAAACUCCUUCGUGCUUGGGAUUGUGGCUUGUAAUUAUCGCGCAUGAACGAGGAAUUCCCAGUAAGUGCAAGUCAUCAGCUUGCGCUGACUACGUCCCUGCCCUUUGUACACACCGCCCGUCGCUACUACCGAUUGAAUGGUUUAGCAAGGUACUCGGAUUGGUCUCGAUCUUGUACGAAAGUGCGGGAUCUGUGGCCGAGAAGAAGGCCAAACUUGAUCAUUUAGAGGAAGUAAAAGUCGUAACAAGGUU
rnacentral:rRNA from 1 species